UAAAAAGUAAGCUAAAAUUAAGCUAGUGGGUUCAUACCUCAUUUAUAGACUAGGUCUCUUUUUAA
rnacentral:tRNA from 1 species